UAAAGUGUCAAAUGCUGACUUACUUUGAAGCUCCUUUCCCGAGUUUGCGGAUAUGCGGUUAGUUCUGACGAAAUGCCACAGACACAAAGCAGAAGAUCUAAGAACUCACAUCAAUAAAUGGCUAGAGGCACUGGAACAUUGGCUCCAGGAGGAUAGUAGACACAGAGGAACAAGUUUUGGAGAUAGUUGCAGCAGAGGCUUCCAGGGGUACUUCGAGCACGACACAGCUACCGAUACUUUCGCAGAACACCUUCAAGCAACAUCUCCAGAAGAAUAACGCCAGUUUUGUUUAUCACCCUGUAUACGCUCAUAAUAUUGGGAUGAUGAAGAUGACCAUAUUGGAAGGAUACACCUAUUACAAGCACAUGUUGUUGGCCACAAGGUUGUUGAAAAAUGCACAGACAAGAAGACUGAAGAGAGUGACUGACCUACCGGAAAGAUUCAUGAGUAGUUGACAUAGCUUAGAACUAAAUAUUUAGCAGACCGCAUAGCAGCUGCUGAGUCGUCAUCUGAACUAGACUAUUUUGAUGUGAGCUAAUCUUUUACAAACUCUAUUACAUCUAUCACACAAUU